rnacentral:tRNA from 1 species
GGGAAUAGCUCAGUGGUAGAGCGCGACCUUGCCAAGGUCGAGGCCGCGGGUUCGAAACCCGUUUCCC